rnacentral:sRNA from 1 species
AUGUGGCUGUGCUAGCAUCUAUUUCUGCAGCCCCGGGUUGGGGCAGGGAUGAGUGGGCGGCCUCCUACCUGCUGCUGUCUUCCAGGGCCUCUGCUGAUGUUUUCUCCACAGUCCUCCUUAGGGCUCAUGCAUUUAUCUCCAGAAGUCCAGUUACCUCCUUGCCAUCCCAAGCUGCCUGCCUCCUGGAUCAGGGCCCACGCCUCAGCAGUGGUCUGCUUCUCCCUCGUCCUGAUCAACACGAGGCUAGCCUGUCAUCCGUAGGCUGCACCUGCCUGUUAAUAUUCCCCCUCAUGGCUGCUCCUUCUCUCUUGCCCAUGUCCCUAUCAUCUUCCCUUUGCCAGGCACUGUGGCCUCCCAUGCAUUAUCGUUUUUAUCCUCUCAGCAGCCUUGUAGGGCAGGAAUGUGAAACUGAGGCUCAGGGAGAUUUGCCAACUCCAGGGGCCCAAAGGUGGCCAACCUCUUGCGGCUAUUUCAGAUCCCACAGAUUAGCUACGCCUCUACCAGUGCCAAGCUGAGUGACAAGUCCCGCUAUGACUACUUUGCCCGCACAGUGCCUCCUGACUUCUUCCAAGCCAAGGCCAUGGCUGAGAUUCUCCGCUUCUUCAACUGGACCUAUGUGUCCACUGUGGCGUCUGAGGGCGACUAUGGCGAGACAGGCAUUGAGGCCUUUGAGCUAGAGGCUCGUGCCCGCAACAUCUGUGUGGCCACCUCGGAGAAAGUGGGCCGUGCCAUGAGCCGCGUGGCCUUUGAGGGUGUGGUGCGAGCCCUGCUGCAGAAGCCCAGUGCCCGCGUGGCUGUCCUGUUCACCCGUUCUGAGGAUGCCCGGGAGCUGCUUGCUGCCAGCCAGCGCCUCAAUGCCAGCUUCACCUGGGUGGCCAGUGAUGGCUGGGGGGCCCUGGAGAGUGUGGUGGCAGGCAGUGAGGGGGCUGCUGAGGGUGCUAUCACCAUCGAGCUGGCCUCCUAUCCCAUCAGUGACUUUGCCUCCUACUUCCAGAGCCUGGACCCUUGGAACAACAGCCGGAACCCCUGGUUCCGUGAAUUCUGGGAGCAGAGGUUCCGCUGCAGCUUCCGGCAGCGAGACUGCGCAGCCCACUCUCUCCGGGCCGUGCCCUUUGAGCAGGAGUCCAAGAUCAUGUUUGUGGUCAAUGCAGUGUACGCCAUGGCCCAUGCGCUCCACAACAUGCACCGUGCCCUCUGCCCCAACACCACCCGGCUCUGUGACGCGAUGCGGCCAGUUAACGGGCGCCGCCUCUACAAGGACUUUGUGCUCAACGUCAAGUUUGAUGGUGACCUGAAAGUCUCCUGAAAUCAAAAGUUAUUUUAAUAAGAGUGCCAGCUUUAAGAGAAAUGACUGCUGCAGAUCAUCACUAUGCUUCAGGAAGAAUCACCGU